CAUUAGGCUCAGGAAGCAAAAUAGCAGUGAUGAGCUCUAAUAAAUCUAAAGCCCAAAACCCCACGUUAAUUUCUUAUGUCUCCUACACCGACGAACUGUCUUGCACUGAUGAUGCUGCUGCAGUGCUCCUCUCUCCGCUUGAGCAAACUCUGCAAAACCUCCAACAAGUUACUUCUCAAACCCUAUACUAGGGCUUUUACAUAUUCUCUUAUAACCCAAAAAAAUGGAUGAAGGAAUGCAGCAAUUCCAACAAAGUUUAGUCGAGCUCGGAAAAUGAUGCCGACCAUGUCUUAUUAGCUCGCAAUGAGGUGGUUGAAAAUGAUAAAGAGAGGAAUGGAAACCGAGAAGCAUUGACUGCAUUAAGGAAGAGAGCUAAGAAUACAAAAACUAGCAUAAAGUCUCUGUUUGAGUCCAUAAUGAAGGAUAUUGGGAAGUCCGGAUCAAGGGCUGCUCCUUUAGUGAAAGACAUUUGUGGGACUUACGGUAAUCAUGACGAGAAGGAGAAAACUUGGAUGAUGUUUCCAGAAAGUGUUGUUUUUCCUUCUAUUCCAUUUCAUGCUGCCCACACUAUCCUGGAGAAAGCCCCCCCCCCCCCACUCCCCCAAUUUUUUUUGUUUUAGUUGUUUUAAUUAGGAAAUGUUGAUUUUUCAUUUUAAGAGAAUUGCAUAUUCAUGAUGGGUUUUAAUUUAGUCGAAUUACUAAUUGUGUUGGUUUAAUGAGCGCAAUAUGUUCUGGAAGUUAAGUUUGAAACUUGUCUUAUCAUGUUUUUCGUUGGUUUAGUGUUUUAGAUUUGUGCGCCGGUAUGAAUAAUAAAGUGGGCUUUCACUGUUUUCUGAUUCUGUUUCUCUGCACAGAAAAUGAGGAAGUUCUGGAAUAUAUGGUUGCUCGAGAUUUAGACUUGAAAUAGGAGACACUUGGGAGAUUUUAUUGUUUUGAGAACCUCGUAUUUGAAGGUCUCAUGUUGCCAAUUCUCAAUGAGAACUGAUAUAGCUUAUCAAAUGGGGCAAAAAAAAAGGGUUUUUUCUGUUGCUGGAGAUGGUAGACUGAGACUGAGUUUAUGCAUUGCACCAACACUCCCAGCUUGGUGUUAGAACUUAGAACCCUAGUUCAAAGAGGAACUAAUGCUUCAUUAGAAAAGUUGUAUUUGUAGACAUUUGAUCUGAUAUUAUACAAUUCUCCUCGUUCUUGCAAAAUGCAAUUAGUGUUCUUGGACAUGUAUAAUUUGUGAAGGUGUGAUUCAUUCUGUGAAUUGGUAGCUUAUUUUUUGGACAGAGAGCAUGCAAAUUUUUGGAAGGUGCCUCCAUAAACUAUUACUAUCAGUUUUUUGUGCUUCAUGGAGAAAUUUCAGUGAAAACAUGCUAUGGUUAGCCUCAAUGCAUGAAACUUUGCAUGUGCCAAAUCACAAAUGACAUAUAAAAGCUACCUAUGAUCGAUGAAGACUAUGGAAUGAUCGAUGAAGACUAUGGAACUAUGAUGCUUGGAACAUGGUUGGUCAUCAAUACAGACUUUUAGUCUACUAAACUUUUCUUUCAGCAAGCGUCAAUGGCAAUUCCUUGAAUCUAGUGUUUGCUGUGAUGCAGAUCAAGAACAGAUUGAAUAUGAAGCAAAAAAUCUGCAAAGCUUUGUGAAGGAAAAGUCCCUUUUAAAUUCAGAAAAAGGUGUGCUUGCUGACAGUAUUAGCCAGCGUUUGCUUAGGUCCUCAGUAACCUUAACAGACAACCCAAAAUAAUGAGAUCUGCAUGGAAUUCUCCUCUCAAGACUCUGGCCUGAAGAAGCGUCUCAGAUGCAUAGAAGUUCUGUUAAACAAAUCACUACUCCGGCCAACCAUUAUCGUAAUGUGAUUAUUGCAACCUUUUCUACCAUGACACUGUCUUACGUGGAUGAGCUGUGAAUUCCUCUCGCUAGUGGAAGGUAGCGUUUUAUGAAAGGUUGGCAUUGCUUGUCAUAUAUGCUUAUACUUAUUGGAAUCAUUUAUGAAGUGGCCAAACCAAGUAUCCAGAAACUCCAAAAGCAGGAAGAUUCAUCAUUCAUGAGAGUUACACAUGCUUUUGUUUUUAUUUAUUUUUAAUUUACUGGCAAGGAAGAUGCUCUGUUACCUUUAAUAGGAAAUUCGGAUACUCUUAUACGGUAGACAAGCGCAAUUACCUUGUCAAAAGGGAAACAUGAUAGCGGGUUAAUCUCAUAGAUGGUGCUUGCAUUUAACUUGUAGAGAAUGUAACUGUGACCCCUAGCGAAGCCCUCUUGCUCUCCUUACCCUUGCUGAGAAAGUUGUUUGAAAAUGUAGAGAUUUUGAAACUUCUAUCGAAUAGAAAACACUUAUUAUUAUU